rnacentral:rRNA from 16 species
UGACAUGAGUAGCGAUAAAGGGGGUGAAAAGCCCCCUCGCCGAAAGCCCAAGGUUUCCUGCGCAACGUUCAUCGGCGCAGGGUGAGUCGGCCCCUAAGGUGAGGCAGAGAUGCGUAGCUGAUGGGAAACAGGUUAAUAUUCCUGUACCUCAAUACAAUGCGAUGUGGGGACGGAGAAGGUUAGGUCAGCCGGGUGUUGGACAUCCCGGUUCAAGCGUGUAGGUUGGUUCUUUAGGCAAAUCCGGAGAGCUAAGACCGAGACGUGAUAACGAGUCUACUUGUAGACGAAGUGAUUGAUACCAUGCUUCCAAGAAAAGCCACUAAGCUUCAGUUGUAUAAGACCGUACCGCAAACCGACACAGGUGGGCAGGAUGAGAAUUCUAAGGCGC